GGGCAUGCGCUGCUAUACAUGCAGUCGACGCUUCUUUUUCCACCGGAGCUUGCUCCACCGGAAAAAGAGGAGUGGCGAACGGGUGAGUAACACGUGGGUAACCUGCCCAUCAGAAGGGGAUAACACUUGGAAACAGGUGCUAAUACCGUAUAACAAUCAAAACCGCAUGGUUUUGAUUUGAAAGGCGCUUUCGGGUGUCGCUGAUGGAUGGACCCGCGGUGCAUUAGCUAGUUGGUGAGGUAACGGCUCACCAAGGCCACGAUGCAUAGCCGACCUGAGAGGGUGAUCGGCCACAUUGGGACUGAGACACGGCCCAAACUCCUACGGGAGGCAGCAGUAGGGAAUCUUCGGCAAUGGACGAAAGUCUGACCGAGCAACGCCACGUGAGUGAAGAAGGUUUUCGGAUCGUAAAACUCUGUUGUUAGAGAAGAACAAGGAUGAGAGUAACUGUUCAUCCCUUGACGGUAUCUAACCAGAAAGCCACGGCUAACUACGUGCCAGCAGCCGCGGUAAUACGUAGGUGGCAAGCGUUGUCCGGAUUUAUUGGGCGUAAAGCGAGCGCAGGCGGUUUCUUAAGUCUGAUGUGAAAGCCCCCGGCUCAACCGGGGAGGGUCAUUGGAAACUGGGAGACUUGAGUGCAGAAGAGGAGAGUGGAAUUCCAUGUGUAGCGGUGAAAUGCGUAGAUAUAUGGAGGAACACCAGUGGCGAAGGCGGCUCUCUGGUCUGUAACUGACGCUGAGGCUCGAAAGCGUGGGGAGCAAACAGGAUUAGAUACCCUGGUAGUCCACGCCGUAAACGAUGAGUGCUAAGUGUUGGAGGGUUUCCGCCCUUCAGUGCUGCAGCUAACGCAUUAAGCACUCCGCCUGGGGAGUACGACCGCAAGGUUGAAACUCAAGGAAUUGACGGGGGCCCGCACAAGCGGUGGAGCAUGUGGUUUAAUUCGAAGCAACGCGUAGAAUCUUACCAGUCUUGACAUCAUUUGACCACUCUAGAGAUAGAGCUUCCCCUUCGGGGGGCGAAGUGACAGGUGGUGCAUGGGUGUCGUCAGCUCGUGUCGUGAGAUGUGGGUUAGUACCCUCAACUAGCGGCAUCCCAUUAUUGGUAGUUGCCAAUCGAUU
rnacentral:rRNA from 1 species